rnacentral:rRNA from 1 species
AUUGAACGCUGGCGGCAGGCCUAACACAUGCAAGUCGAGCGGCAGCGGAAAGUAGCUUGCUACUCUGCCGGCGAGCGGCGGACGGGUGAGUAAUGUCUGGGAAACUGCCUGAUGGAGGGGGAUAACUACUGGAAACGGUAGCUAAUACCGCAUAACGUCGCAAGACCAAAGAGGGGGACCUUCGGGCCUCUUGCCAUCAGAUGUGCCCAGAUGGGAUUAGCUAGUAGGUGGGGUAAUGGCUCACCUAGGCGACGAGCCCUAGCUGGGCUGAGAGGAUGACCAGCCACACUGGAACUGAGACACGGUCCAGACUCCUACGGGAGGCAGCAGUGGGGAAUAUUGCACAAUGGGCGCAAGCCUGAUGCAGCCAUGCCGCGUGUAUGAAGAAGGCCUUCGGGUUGUAAAGUACUUUCAGCGGGGAGGAAGGUGUUGAGGUUAAUAACCUCAGCAAUUGACGUUACCCGCAGAAGAAGCACCGGCUAACUCCGUGCCAGCCGCCGCCGUAA